rnacentral:rRNA from 1 species
UACGGAGGGUGCAAGCGUUAUCCGGAUUCACUGGGUUUAAAGGGUGCGUAGGUGGGUUUGUAAGUCAGUGGUGAAAUCUCCAAGCUUAACUUGGAAACUGCCGUUGAUACUAUAAAUCUUGAAUGUUGUGGAGGUGAGCGGAAUAUGUCAUGUAGCGGUGAAAUGCUUAGAUAUGACAUAGAACACCAAUUGCGAAGGCAGCUCACUACACAAAGAUUGACACCGAGGCACGAAAGCGUGGGGAUCAAACAGG